AGGCCCAUGGUGUAAUGGCAGCACAGCUGUUUUUGGUGCAGCUCGUCGGGGUUCGAAUCCCUGUGGGCCUA
rnacentral:tRNA from 2 species